AUUGAACGCUGGCGGCAGGCUUAACACAUGCAAGUCGAGCGGUAACAGAGAGAAGCUUGCUUCUCUGCUGACGAGCGGCGGACGGGUGAGUAAUGCCUAGGAAUCUGCCUAGUAGUGGGGGAUAACUUGCCGAAAGGUAAGCUAAUACCGCAUACGUCCUACGGGAGAAAGGAGGGGACCUUCGGGCCUUUCGCUAUUAGAUGAGCCUAGGUCGGAUUAGUUAGUUGGUGAGGUAAUGGCUCACCAAGACCGCGAUCCGUAACUGGUCUGAGAGGAUGAUCAGUCACACUGGAACUGAGACACGGUCCAGACUCCUACGGGAGGCAGCAGUGGGGAAUAUUGGACAAUGGGGGGAACCCUGAUCCAGCCAUGCCGCGUGUGUGAAGAAGGUCUUAGGAUUGUAAAGCACUUUAAGUUGGGAGGAAGAGCAGUUAACUAAUAUUUGACUGUUUUGACGUUACCGACAGAAUAAGCACCGGCUAACUUCGU
rnacentral:rRNA from 1 species